CAAUUUGAAUAUACCGGUUCUCGUUAGAUCACCGAAGUCAAGCAUCAUUGGGCGCGGUCAGUACUUGGGUGGGUGAUUAC